GCUGCGUUAGCUCAACCGGCAGAGCAUCCGGGGAGUUACAGGUUCGAUUCCUGCACGCGGCA
rnacentral:tRNA from 1 species